rnacentral:piRNA from 1 species
UCCAGUUUGAAGGCCGUGCAUUUGGA